GACGUAGGGCGCGAGCGUUGUCCGGAUUUAUUGGGCGUAAAGAGCUCGUAGGCGGCCUGUCGCGUCGACUGUGAAAUCCCGCGGCUCAACUGCGGGUCUGCAGUCGAUACGGGCAGGCUAGAGUUCGGUAGGGGAGACUGGAAUUCCUGGUGUAGCGGUGAAAUGUGCAGAUAUCAGGGAGGAACACCGGUGGCGAAGGCGGGUCUCUGGGCCGAUACUGACGUGGAGGAGCGAAAGCCGUGGGGAGCGAAACAGG
rnacentral:rRNA from 1 species